rnacentral:rRNA from 1 species
CCUACGGGGAGCAGCAGUGAGGAAUAUUGGUCAAUGGGCGCGAGCCUGAACCAGCCAAGUAGCGUGAAGGAUGACUGCCCUACGGGUUGUAAACUUCUUUUAUAAAGGAAUAAAGUGAGGCACGUGUGCCUUUUUGUAGGUACUUUAUGAAUAAGGAUCGGCUAACUCCGUGCCAGCAGCCGCGGUAAUACGGAGGAUCCGAGCGUUAUCCGGAGUUAUUGGGUUUAAAGGGAUCGGAGAUGGGUUGUUAAGGCAGGUGUGAAAGUUUGCGGCUCAACCGUAAAAUUGCCGUUGAAACUGGCAGCCUUGAGUACAGUUGAGGUAGGCGGAAUUCGUGGUGUAGCGGUGAAAUGCUUAGAUAUCUCGAAGAACUCCGAUUGCGAAGGCAGCUUACUAAACUGCCACUGACAUUGAGGCUCGAAAGUGUGGGUAUCAAACAGGAUUAGAUACCCCGGUAGUC